rnacentral:rRNA from 1 species
GUGAACGCUGGCGGUAGGCCUAACACAUGCAAGUCGAACGGCAGCACAGUAAGAGCUUGCUCUUACGGGUGGCGAGUGGCGGACGGGUGAGGAAUACAUCGGAAUCUACUUUUUCGUGGGGGAUAACGUAGGGAAACUUACGCUAAUACCGCAUACGACCUACGGGUGAAAGCAGGGGAUCUUCGGACCUUGCGCGAUUGAAUGAGCCGAUGUCGGAUUAGCUAGUUGGCGGGGUAAAGGCCCACCAAGGCGACGAUCCGUAGAUGGUCUGAGAGGAUGAUCAGCCACACUGGAACUGAGACACGGUCCAGACUCCUACGGGAGGCAGCAGUGGGGAAUAUUGGACAAUGGGCGCAAGCCUGAUCCAGCCAUACCGCGUGGGUGAAGAAGGCCUUCGGGUUGUAAAGCCCUUUUGUUGGGAAAGAAAAGCAGCAGGUUAAUACCCCGCUGUUCUGACGGUACCCAAAGAAUAAGCACCGGCUAACUUCGUG